CCUACGGGAGGCAGCAGUCGGGAAUAUUGCGCAAUGGAGGAAACUCUGACGCAGUGACGCCGCGUAUAGGAAGAAGGUUUUCGGAUUGUAAACUAUUGUCGUGAGGGAAGAAGAUGACAGUACCUCAGGAGGAAGCUCCGGCUAACUAUGUGCCAGCAGCCGCGGUAAU
rnacentral:rRNA from 1 species